UGAACUCUGCUGGGAUUAAAGGAAUGGCAUGCUUUUUUUUGAGACCAGGUCUCAAGUCGUCUAGGCUGGUCUCUAACUUCUGUGGGUCAGGAUGACCUUGAACUUCUGGUCUUGCCUCUACCUCCCAACUGCUGAGACUCCAGGUGUGUGUGCACUGUCAGCCAUGACCCAAGACACACCCCACCCCUCCUGUCCUGGACCUAACUCACGGAAACCUACAAGCUCUAGGAUUAAAAGUGCACAUCCCAUAUCCAGCUUGAUAAUUUGUACUACAUGCCAGCGUAAUCACAAGUUCUAGGCAUCACUUCAGAUCUGGACCAGACACUUCAUUACCCAAACUUUCCCAAAGCCAUAAAUGGUUCUGAGGUGAGAGUCAUCUAGUCAGUCCAAGCAAAAGCAGGUUUGCUUGUUUUUUUUUUUUUUUUUUCCCCUUUCGCCAGUUAUCACCAAGUGGUAAUAAAGGCACUGACUCUUAAGUCUAUACUUUAAAAGUAGGGGUUCCAAUGAAAAACACUCAUCAGAUACAAGCUCUCUGUAAACAGUUCAAGUGUGUUUUAAAUUUAAACUCUGCCUUAAGCUGUCUAUCACACUGCCUUUGAGAUUCUUGGAAACCUAUGUAGCUCUCGGGAGAAGACUUCAAGAAUAUGUAAUUUUACCAAGGCUAGUUUGUGUACUCUAUUCAGUAAUGUCUUCAAUUUCCCUGACUGGAGUAAAGCUCUCUUUUAUCUAUGGUUAUUGGUCUAUUAUGUUUAUUACAAUCUUGAUAGUCAAAACUACAGAAAACAACUGUCAUCGAACAAACUCUUCCAGAAGCCAUAGACUGUUGUCUGAUGGAUACUAAAUAAAACCCACCAGCAUGGGGCUAUAUAGAAAAGCAAUUUAUUCCAUUAUAAGCACUUACACAGUUAGUCAUGGAGAGUAACAGGCCUGAUGGUGAGACAGGUCAACCAAAAUGGAGAUGGCAUCAAACUAUAGUGGUCAAAGACUAACCCCUAAAAAAGCAACUUUUAUCAAGGAUUAAUUUAAUCUUAAAAACAAACACAAACUAGCAAUCCACUCUUUCUCAACUUGACAGUUCACCAGUGGAACAACUGCCAGGUAAAAACAUACAUCUUUACAACUUGGUGGUCCCAAGUUU
rnacentral:lncRNA from 1 species